CUGCUCGCUUCAGCAGCACAUAUACUAAAAUUGGAACAAUACAGAGAAGAUCAGCACAGCCCCUGUGCAAGGACGUCACGCGAAUUCGUGACGCGUUCCGUAUUUUU